rnacentral:misc_RNA from 1 species
AAGGAUCAUUACUGAGAACUUGCCCUUCGGGGUAGAUCUCCCACCCAAUGUUUACAUUACUUUGUUGCUUUGGCAGGCCCGUCUUUGGACCACCGGCUUCGGCUGGUCAGUGCCUGCCAGAGGACCCCAAACUCUGAAUAUUUAUUGUCUGAGUAUUAUAUAAUAAGUUAAAACUUUCAACAACGGAUCUCUUGGUUCUG